AAAGCAGGGAGCAUGUGGUACGGCCACUGGGGCCGCUGCCUGGCCAGUUCAGUCCUCAGGGGGUCCCAGGUGAAGGGCAGGGCCUCCUGGCCGCUGCCUG